ensembl:lncRNA
CAAGAAGCUAUGGGGAGCUUCUAGGUCUAAUGCUGUUCCUCUGCUUUUGAGCUGAAUUUCUGCACGGCAGCCUUUCUCGAUUGCAGUAGGGCUUCCCUGGCUUGAAGAUGGGUGUGCUGUCCUGAGGGAGGAGCAGUGUUGGCUGUCUUACAGUGACCUUCCUGCUUUCCUUUAGAAGAGUCCACUAAGAACUGUAUCGGGUUUUUCAAUGAUAGAGAUCUCAAACAAAGGUCGCUGUUUAAGACUGUGUGACGUUCAACGGCAGAAUCUGGAACGCUCACCCAUAGCAGGGCACAUCUGAAUCAAUGUGAGACAUGAUUACAUUUAGUAACAUAAUACAUUAUCUCCUCAAGAGUUUCUGCUAGAAUCCAGACUCUAAACGAAGCUUUGGGUCCCUCACAUUGCCCUGUCAUGGGCCAUAAUGUAGUCUUUUAUCAUCGUACUUUUCAAUUAGAUCAUGACUUUUAACAUGCAGAGUUGGAAAUUCUGGUUACCCAUGAAAAACUAUUAAAAGAUAGUGCCUGGAAAACAUAGAAGCCAUCCAAACACUCUGGUGCUGUAGGACAUAUGUCCCUGUGCAGCUCUCCCAUGGGAAGGGUGUCGUCGCUUCCAGGCUUUUGUGGCAAUCAGUACCUACGUGGCUGCUUAACAGGCAGAAGCCCUAAUAAUAAGCAUCUCAUUAGAAGAGCAGUAAACGGUUCUGUCACUGAUUGGAAAAUGUUGAGACGAAGCAGCGUUUCCCCUCGUGGGAGACUCAGGAUCCCUCAAAAACAUCACUAACGUGUUCCUUCAGGUCAGCCAGGCCCCUAGCGCUUCGGUUUCUUAUCUGGAAUCCCAGCGAAACAGACUCAAGUGCCUCCCUGCAGAAGGUUGAUUUUGGGAGGCUCGUUCUCUUCAUUAGGCAGUGGAGGGUUCUGAAGAACAGCUUGUUUAGCUCCUGGAAAAAAAGAAAACCCACACCCAUUUUACAAAAUCCAGUCUGUUGUGAAGUUCAUUCUUAGUAUUUAACCAUACAAGCAAAACAUUUAUAACAAUGCAUAAAGCAGGAAAUUAAUGUAAAGGCCGCUAAGCUGUCAGAAGAAAGGGUGACCUUUGAUGUUGGAAAUCACCAGAGGUUUCCCCGGUUCUGCAUGGGUACGUCAUGGAGUGCUUCACUCAAGGCAUUUUAAGUCUGUGAUCCUUAUGUAUUUAUUUAUUUUUAAAGGCAAAUUUAGAUGUAUGCUCUACGUACGUGUCACUGUAAGACACAAUGGAAGAAAGGUGAAGUGCACUACGUAUCAUUUUCCAAAAUAAAGACUAACGACAAAAACAGUGCUGUAUUUUAUUAAAUAGGCUGAAUGCUGCUCUAUCUCUUUGUCAGUUCCCAGCAGAAAAUACCUUCUUCAGCGAAAAGCAAGAUUUUCAGGGUUUCACUCUAAUGGCAACGGUGCCAAAAAAAGAAAGAAGGAAUACAAUUUUUGUGUGUCUCAUCAAGUAUAUAGACUUUGCUUGCUGAAUAUUUACUUUUGUUUUCCUCAGUCUCACUCAGUGUCAAAUGAAACAUUUAAUGUAAAACAAUUUACUCU